rnacentral:rRNA from 1 species
GACGAACGCUGGCGGCGUGCUUAACACAUGCAAGUCGAACGGAAAGGCCCUGCUUGCAGGGUACUCGAGUGGCGAACGGGUGAGUAACACGUGGGUGAUCUGCCCUGCACUUCGGGAUAAGCCUGGGAAACUGGGUCUAAUACCGGAUAGGAGCCAUUUUUAGUGUGAUGGUUGGAAAGUUUUUUCGGUGUAGGAUGAGCUCGCGGCCUAUCAGCUUGUUGGUGGGGUAAUGGCCUACCAAGGCGGCGACGGGUAGCCGGCCUGAGAGGGUGGACGGCCACAUUGGGAUUGAGAUACGGCCCAGACCCCGGCGGGGGGAAGAAGGGGGAAAUAUGGCACAAGGGGCGCAAGCCUGAUGCAGCGACGCCGGGGGGGGGAUGACGGCUUUGGGGUUAUAAACUCCUUUCGCUGGGGACGAAGCUUUUGUGAGGGUACCUAAAAAAGAAGCCCCGGCUAACUACGUC